rnacentral:rRNA from 1 species
GGGUUGUGAGGUUAAGCGACUAAGCGUACACGGUGGAUGCCCUGGCAGUCAGAGGCGAUGAAGGACGUGCUAAUCUGCGAAAAGCGUCGGUAAGGUGAUAUGAACCGUUAUAACCGGCGAUGUCCGAAUGGGGAAACCCAGUGCAAUUCGUUGCACUAUCGUUAACUGAAUACAUAGGUUAACGAGGCGAACCGGGGGAACUGAAACAUCUAAGUACCCCGAGGAAAAGAAAUCAACCGAGAUUCCCCCAGUAGCGGCGAGCGAACGGGGAGCAGCCCAGAGUCUGAAUCAGCUUGUGUGUUAGUGGAACGGUCUGGAAAGUCCGACGGUACAGGGUGAUAGUCCCGUACACCAAAAUGCACAGGUUGUGAACUCGAAGAGUAGGGCGGGACACGUGGUAUCCUGUCUGAAUAUGGGGGGACCAUCCUCCAAGGCUAAAUACUCCUGACUGACCGAUAGUGAACCAGUACCGUGAGGGAAAGGCGAAAAGAACCCCGGCGAGGGGAGUGAAAAAGAACCUGAAACCGUGUACGUACAAGCAGUGGGAGCACCUUCGGGUGUGACUGCGUACCUUUUGUAUAAUGGGUCAGCGACUUAUAUUCUGUAGCAAGGUUAACCGUAUAGGGGAGCCGCAGGGAAACCGAGUCUUAACUGGGCGUUAAGUUGCAGGGUAUAGACCCGAAACCCGGUGAUCUAGCCAUGGGCAGGUUGAAGGUUGGGUAACACUAACUGGAGGACCGAACCGACUAAUGUUGAAAAAUUAGCGGAUGACUUGUGGCUGGGGGUGAAAGGCCAAUCAAACCGGGAGAUAGCUGGUUCUCCCCGAAAGCUAUUUAGGUAGCGCCUCGUGAACUCAUCUUCGGGGGUAGAGCACUGUUUCGGCUAGGGGGUCAUCCCGACUUACCAACCCGAUGCAAACUACGAAUACCGAAGAAUGUUAUCACGGGAGACACACGGCGGGUGCUAACGUCCGUCGUGAAGAGGGAAACAACCCAGACCGCCAGCUAAGGUCCCAAAGUCAUGGUUAAGUGGGAAACGAUGUGGGAAGGCACAGACAGCCAGGAUGUUGGCUUAGAAGCAGCCAUCAUUUAAAGAAAGCGUAAUAGCUCACUGGUCGAGUCGGCCUGCGCGGAAGAUGUAACGGGGCUAAACCAUGCACCGAAGCUGCGGCAGCGACGCUUAUGCGUUGUUGGGUAGGGGAGCGUUCUGUAAGCCUGCGAAGGUGGCCUGUGAGGGCUGCUGGAGGUAUCAGAAGUGCGAAUGCUGACAUAAGUAACGAUAAAGCGGGUGAAAAGCCCGCUCGCCGGAAGACCAAGGGUUCCUGUCCAACGUUAAUCGGGGCAGGGUGAGUCGACCCCUAAGGCGAGGCCGAAAGGCGUAGUCGAUGGGAAACAGGUUAAUAUUCCUGUACUUGGUGUUACUGCGAAGGGGGGACGGAGAAGGCUAUGUUAGCCGGGCGACGGUUGUCCCGGUUUAAGCAUGUAGGCGGAGGUUCCAGGUAAAUCCGGUACCUUUUAACGCUGAGGUGUGAUGACGAGGCACUACGGUGCUGAAGUAACAAAUGCCCUGCUUCCAGGAAAAGCCUCUAAGCAUCAGGUAACAUCAAAUCGUACCCCAAACCGACACAGGUGGUCAGGUAGAGAAUACCAAGGCGCUUGAGAGAACUCGGGUGAAGGAACUAGGCAAAAUGGUGCCGUAACUUCGGGAGAAGGCACGCUGGUGUGUAGGUGAAGUCCCUGCGGAUGGAGCUGAGACCAGUCGAAGAUACCAGCUGGCUGCAACUGUUUAUUAAAAACACAGCACUGUGCAAACACGAAAGUGGACGUAUACGGUGUGACGCCUGCCCGGUGCCGGAAGGUUAAUUGAUGGGGUUAUCCGUAAGGAGAAGCUCUUGAUCGAAGCCCCGGUAAACGGCGGCCGUAACUAUAACGGUCCUAAGGUAGCGAAAUUCCUUGUCGGGUAAGUUCCGACCUGCACGAAUGGCGUAAUGAUGGCCAGGCUGUCUCCACCCGAGACUCAGUGAAAUUGAACUCGCUGUGAAGAUGCAGUGUACCCGCGGCAAGACGGAAAGACCCCGUGAACCUUUACUAUAGCUUGACACUGAACAUUGAGCCUUGAUGUGUAGGAUAGGUGGGAGGCUUUGAAGCGUGGACGCCAGUCUGCGUGGAGCCGACCUUGAAAUACCACCCUUUAAUGUUUGAUGUUCUAACGUUGGCCCGUAAUCCGGGUUGCGGACAGUGUCUGGUGGGUAGUUUGACUGGGGCGGUCUCCUCCCAAAGAGUAACGGAGGAGCACGAAGGUUAGCUAAUCCUGGUCGGACAUCAGGAGGUUAGUGCAAUGGCAUAAGCUAGCUUGACUGCGAGCGUGACGGCGCGAGCAGGUGCGAAAGCAGGUCAUAGUGAUCCGGUGGUUCUGAAUGGAAGGGCCAUCGCUCAACGGAUAAAAGGUACUCCGGGGAUAACAGGCUGAUACCGCCCAAGAGUUCAUAUCGACGGCGGUGUUUGGCACCUCGAUGUCGGCUCAUCACAUCCUGGGGCUGAAGUAGGUCCCAAGGGUAUGGCUGUUCGCCAUUUAAAGUGGUACGCGAGCUGGGUUUAGAACGUCGUGAGACAGUUCGGUCCCUAUCUGCCGUGGGCGCUGGAGAAUUGAGGGGGGCUGCUCCUAGUACGAGAGGACCGGAGUGGACGCAUCACUGGUGUUCGGGUUGUCAUGCCAAUGGCACUGCCCGGUAGCUAAAUGCGGAAGAGAUAAGUGCUGAAAGCAUCUAAGCACGAAACUUGCCCCGAGAUGAGUUCUCCCUGAGACUUUAAGUCUCCUGAAGGAACGUUGAAGACGACGACGUUGAUAGGCCGGGUGUGUAAGCGCAGCGAUGCGUUGAGCUAACCGGUACUAAUGAACCGUGAGGCUUAACCUUACAACGCCGAAG